rnacentral:rRNA from 1 species
GAUGGACGCUGGCGGCGUGCCUAAUACAUGCAAGUCGAGCGAACGGACGAGAAGCUUGCUUCUCUGAUGUUAGCGGCGGACGGGUGAGUAACACGUGGAUAACCUACCUAUAAGACUGGGAUAACUUCGGGAAACCGGAGCUAAUACCGGAUAAUAUUUUGAACCGCAUGGUUCAAAAGUGAAAGACGGUCUUGCUGUCACUUAUAGAUGGAUCCGCGCUGCAUUAGCUAGUUGGUAAGGUAACGGCUUACCAAGGCAACGAUGCAUAGCCGACCUGAGAGGGUGAUCGGCCACACUGGAAGUGAGACACGGUCCAGACUCCUACGGGAGGCAGCAGUAGGGAAUCUUCCGCAAUGGGCGAAAGCCUGACGGAGCAACGCCGCGUGAGUGAUGAAGGUCUUCGGAUCGUAAAACUCUGUUAUUAGGGAAGAACAUAUGUGUAAGUAACUGUGCACAUCUUGACGGUACCUAAUCAGAAAGCCACGGCUAACUACGUG